CACGUCAUCCUUGCACUGUGCAUCUGGUGUUAUGCAUAAAAGUAAUGUGAUGGAGAUGGAGAAUAUCAGACUGUGGGCAAAAUGGGAUCAAUGCCAGAAAUCAUGAGGUGACCACUGUGUUGAAAGUGAGGAAGAAGCUGCUCUGAACUGUGGAUGUUCUGGAGUUGGGCACAGAAACCUGUCACUUGUGUCUAUGUACAAACCCCUCUGGUUUCAGCAAUAAAAGAGUCUGCUUCCUCAGCUGCUGUCAGGCAGGCACUGCUGGCUGAACACUGUGUGUGCAUGUGCAGGUGGGUACAGCUCUGACCAUUUCAAUACAGCUCGAGAGGUUUUCUUACAAUGUG